rnacentral:rRNA from 1 species
UAAUACGGAGGGUGCAAGCGUUGUUCGGAAUUAUUGGGCGUAAAGCGCGUGUAGGCGGCUUUGCAAGUCGGGUGUGAAAUCCCUCAGCUUAACUGAGGAAGUGCGCCCGAAACUGCCGAGCUUGAGUACCGGAGAGGGUGGCGGAAUUCCCCAAGUAGAGGUGAAAUUCGUAGAUAUGGGGAGGAACACCGGUGGCGAAGGCGGCCACCUGGACGGAUACUGACGCUGAGACGCGAAAGCGUGGGGAGCAAACAGG